UUCGCCUACGGGAGGCAGCAGUGGGGAAUAUUGGGCAAUGGGCGCAAGCCUGACCCAGCAACGCCGCGUGAAGGAAGAAGGCUUUCGGGUUGUAAACUUCUUUUCUGAGGGACGAAGAAAGUGACGGUACCUCAGGAAUAAGCCACGGCUAACUACGUGCCAGCAGCCGCGGUAAUACGUAGGUGGCAAGCGUUAUCCGGAAUUAUUGGGUGUAAAGGGUGCGUAGACGGGAUAACAAGUUGGUUGUGAAACCCCUCGGCUCAACUGAGGAACUGCAACCAAAACUAUUAUUCUUGAGUGCAGGA
rnacentral:rRNA from 1 species